UUGUUUUUAAAAGAGCAUGAAAAUAAACCUUUAUUUCAGUUAACACCCACCAAUAUUAAAGAUAAAUGUUCACAGUUUUAGUUCUUGACACAAAUGGACUGAAAGAGGUGAAUUUACAUCUGGCAGAACAGCAGAAGGACCAAUUUUAAGUUACAAGCUGUGUUGAAAAUCACUCUAGGUGCAAUUUGGGAAUGCUCUAGAGCAGGAAAAGGGAAAAAUCCAGCCAGCAAAAUCACCUGGGUGGCAUCUGGAACAGCAGUUUGGAUGAAGGAAGGGUUGAAUUCCAGGGAAAGCUUUGCUCCACCUGUUUGUGUGUCAGCCAGGCUGUCCCUAAGGCUGGAAGGGCAGCACAUCCCACCAGACAGUGGGAGAGGGAAAAGGAACAGCCCCACUCUGAGAGCAGACUCAGGAGAGGAGAACCAAGGGAUUUUCCCACCCUCUGAUGGAAAAUCUGCCUCCUCCUCCUGCCCAGGGCUGGAAAUCCAGGUGAGGGAACUGAUCCAUGAUACUCACAGUGGGUCACAAGAGGAAUUCUCGUGGAAAACAGCUCAGGAAAAGCAAAGGCAGCUGCUAACACCCCAGCUGAGCAGGCUGGUAUUCCAUACUCCAAGGUCUCCAACACUUCCUGCCUGUCCUGUACAGUUUUUAUAAAAAUAGGGUGUUACCUUUAGUUUUCUACCUACGUACAGAACUACAAAUCUGUUCUAAGCUGGCCAAAGAGGAAAGCAUAAAUAAAAUUAAGAGAUUUCCUUCUACUCUCCUAACAAAUGCUGAUAAAACCUACAGGAAAUCCUCUUUAUGAGCCAGUCACUCAGCACCUUUUGUGUAUUGAAGGGAUACACGGGGAUGAAAUUGAACCUAUGGUGGGAUUUUGAGGGGGGAGAAGGAAUUUCUUACAAUCAUUCCCUGGAAAAAACAUUCCUUGGUGAUGUCCCAGGCAGAUCAUGAGCACUGCACCGAGCCAGAGCUGCAUUUGGAUGGAGAGGUGGAGUGUUGAGGUUGUGGGGUGAACUUUUGGUGUCCCAUGCACAGAUUGCCACUGUCCCAGUGUCCAACCAUGAGCCACAACUCCCUCCUGAGCCAGCCCAGCUCCCUCCUGGGAACACCUGGAGCAGUGCUGGGAAUGCCUCAGGUCCUGCUGCACCCGUGUGGCAACCCCACAUCCCACCUGGAAUCCACCUGGGCUUCCAGAGCCACAGCUGCCACCUUCCCCCCAUCCCAGCUCCAACAGCUCCCCCAGACUCAUGGAAUUCCAGCUCCAAGGAAAGGAAUUGCCCCAAUCUCACGGAAUCCCAGCUCCAAGGACAUGAAUUCCCUGCAUUUCAGGGUAUCCCAGCUCCAAGGACAGGAAUUUCCCCCAUUCUCAUGAAAUUCCAGCUCCAACAGCAGGAAUUCCCUCUAUUUCAGGGCAUCCCAGCUGCAACAA
rnacentral:lncRNA from 1 species